CAUUACUUGCCACUUUCUCUCUCUCAGUCGCUUUCAAGCACCAGUUGCAUUUGAAUAAAAAUAGUGUUGAAAAAUAUAAAUCCGACAUACGACCAGAUCGACUUACGACCUAUCAGUCAGAAUGGAAGUCGGUCGU